rnacentral:lncRNA from 1 species
UUCACCAAUAUAAUUAAGUUACCACAAAGGCUAGAAACUACCACAGUCUGCAGCAACAUAAAGUUACCUUACAAUAAUACAUAUAUAGUAUACAUCAUCAUCCACUAAUAAUAUUUAUAACAAGUGCAAAAUAAAUCAUAAAAAAACAACUGGGUAGAUAUUAUUUUAUUUUUUGACGCAACGUUUACUGCAUCUUUGGAAAUCGCAUUAUAUCACAGCCACAAAGGUGCUGAAGAUUGCAAUAUACAAUACGCGGAGGGGUACACAAAAACUCUCGACAAUCCUCAUCCUUUUUGCAGCUCAUAGUAUCAACUGUGAUAUAUCAAAUAAACAUUGAAAAAAUGUUAUCAACAAUUUUUAAUAAUUCCUUUCAAAAAGAGGAGCAUUAAGGAAAGUUAUCAACAAUUUUUAAUAAUUCCUUUAAGAAUAAAUUUAACACGUUAAGUAAGUUUGUAAUUACUGUUGGAACAUGAUGAAGAAUUUGGAGGGAACUUGGUAUUGAAAUAAACACAAGUUCAAGAACCAUGUGUAGUGUGAAUUGAAAAAAGACUCUUUGAGUCCCACAUUGGAAAAAUCACACUACUUGGUAGUNNNNNNNNNNNNNNNNNNNNNGCGCGCGCGCCGCCGCCGUCCGUCCGGCCGGCUCGGUUCGGGCCGGGCGUGGGCUUGGGUGAUAUAUUAAUUUUUUAAUACUAAGAAAAAAGAAAUUUUUGAAUUUAAAUUUCUUUUAUGUGUGUCCCUUAAUUCGCACAUGUUAAAUGUGCUUAGAGCAAGUCUGAACAGAUUUUUAUCUGUUAAAACGGUCAAAAAUACGUGUCCCUUAAAGUCCCUGAUUUUUUGCCACGUUUUUUCCUUUGACUGAGCAACUUCAGCUCCUAAAAACCGUCUGAUUCCAGCUCCCUACUUGCCUAUAAAUACCACUUAAUUUCUUCAGUUUUAAUUCACUUCUUUUUCUCUGCAUUAUGAGAAAACAGCUUCUUUCCUUCUCCUUUUUUCUUUCUUUGAAAUUAUUUUGUUGUUUCAAAAUUUUGAACGGUUGUAAACCGUAGAAUUGAUAUUCGUAUAUCAAUAGAGUGGUUCGAUAUUUCGUACCAUAUUUGAUGUUAUUCUGGCCGAUACUACAGUGCAGUAGUUUAUCGGUAUUUCUCUGAAAAACGGCUGUUUUAUUCUGGGGACUUCGCGGUUGAUAUACUACAGUGCACUUCUUCGAGUUGUUCCGCGAAACGUCUUAAAGAAAGCGACCUAGUACGCGACUCAGCCAAUAAUAGUUUCGUUGCCAUUUUUGAAAAAAAUCGUUUUCUGCUUUUUAAACUCAGUAAACCGUUUUACAACAAUUACUAAUUCUUAAAAAGAUUUAGUAAAAAAAAAAAAGUUUGUAAUCCUCGUAAAUAUUUCAAAAUUUGUUUUUAGUUCUUGUAAAGAUUUUCUUUUAGUUUCUCAAAUAUUUUUCUGUGAUAACAUUUGGUCUCUAUUAUAUUGGUUUAUAAUAUUAUAAGAAUUUUAUCUAUAAAUUUAUUUUAAUAUAAGAUGAAUUAAAUAUGAAUUUUAAAGGGCCAAAAAUAUUUAAUUUUAUAUUUAAUUCAUCUUUUGCUAAAAAAAAUUAAAUGUUGUAAAUAUAUUUUUAUAAAGGAUCGGACUAAACAUGAAAGCAAAAAAAAUUUAAAAUUUCUAAUAAUAUACACGAGUCGAUUUAAAAGCAGAGACCAAAUAUCGUGACAAAAAAUACUUUUUUUUUGUUUAUAACCCUCUGGUUCCUAGGGGAAAAAGGACCCUAAUAGUCCAGAGUUCGGCCGCGAGGUAAGUAAAGCGUGACCAAUAAAUUUUUCCACCCAGGAAUCGAACCCGAGUUCUCUCGAAAUCCGUCAUUUUUGGUGAAGCCCGUUAACCACUUGAGCCCAAUUACUUAAUUUGACAAGAAAUAUUUGAUUAUCAAUACUUAUUAAUAUUUUAUUUACAAAAUAAAAAUAAAAUUUUAGAUAUAUGGAUAAAAACUUAUUUAACCCUAUAAAUUAGUAUAAAAAUAUAACAUGAUAUAAUAAAUUUAAAAUAGAUACUACCGGUACCCAACAAGACUCUUAGGUACCGGUGUUCACCAAAUUUAAAGCAUUGAUAAAAAUUACUUACCGCCGUUUGUUAUAGAAAUAAAUAGGGAAAAAUAGAUAAUCAUAGCACAAAUAAAUAUCUUAACUUUAGCCAUAUUUUUUCUUUUAUGAAUCUACAAUUAGAAAUGUUUG